UCGGGGGUAGCUCAAUCGGCAGAGCAUUCGGCUGUUAACCGAAGGGUUGUGGGUUCGAGUCCCACCCCCCGAG
rnacentral:tRNA from 3 species